CUCACCUUGGCUCUCGGUCUCCUGGAACUCGGUGACCAGCGCCUGCAGGCCAGGAAUGUCCUCUCCUGCCCUCUCAAGCGUUCUUACGGACCUGUCCCCUGGCUGUCUUCUCUCCUGGGCUGUAAGCAAUCCCACCUGCCCUGCCACUUGGAGCAGAGUGACAGUUACCCGUGAUGAAUCCUGCAGUGAGGAAGAGCUGGACCAGUGAGGUGGAGAAGGAGCUGGCCACCAUGCCCAGGCUGGCCAGCAAGCCUCCUAGCAUCAUGGUCACUCGGCAGCCGAAGUGUUUUAUGAGGAUGCUGCACAGGGGUCCUGUAGGCAACACAGGCUGCUCACCCCCGCCGUGGAGCAUGGCCACCAUGAUAGAGGGAAACCAUGAGGUCUCGCUGUUGGUGGCCUGGAAGUCGUGCUGUAGAUCAGUGAAGAAGACGCCGAUGCAGGAAGGGAAGCUCGCGGU